GUGCUCGCUUUGGCAGUACAUAUACUAAAAUUGGAAUAACACAGAGAAGAUUAGCAUGGUCCCUGCGCAAGGAUGACACACAAAUUUGUGAACUGUUUCAUAUUUUU
ensembl:snRNA Gm25598 predicted gene, 25598